GACGAACGCUGGCGGCGUGCUUAACACAUGCAAGUCGAACGGAAAGUUCCUGGUUUUGUGGGGUGCUCGAGGGGCGAAGGGGUGAGUAACACGUGAGUAAGCUGCACUUGACUGUGGGAUAACUUCAGGAAACUGGGGCCAAUACCGGAUAGGAGCUCUUGCUGCUUGGGGGGGGUUGGAAAGUUUCGGCGGUUGGGGAUGGACUCGCGGCUCAUCAGCUUGUUGGUGGGGUAGUGGCUUACCAAGGCUUUGACGCGUAGCCGACCUGAGAGGGUGACCGGCCCCGCUGGGAUGGGACUGCGACCCAGACUCCUCCGGUACGCAACGGUGGGGAAUAGUGCACAACGGGAUGAGGGCUAGUGUAACGCCGCCGUGUGGGGGAAAUGAGGCAUCGCGUAGGAUAGCAAUAUCGCUUCUGCCGAGGCGUUAGUGACGGUACUGGGUAAAGAAGCACCGGCUAACUACGUG
rnacentral:rRNA from 1 species